UUCGGUUCGGAUAAUUAUAGUUACUAACUGUUCAGUUCGGUUAGUGAAUUAUUAUCAAAAUAAUAGUUCGGUUCGAGA
rnacentral:pre_miRNA from 1 species